GCUCGCUGGCCCGGCCGGCGCCGCGCCACAGCCGGGGCGCCCACGCGAGGACCGCGCGCCUGGGUCUCUCUUCAGGGAUGACGUCAUCUGGUCACCUCCUUGUCUUCGAAGACCAUGAAGACCACCCACUCUCGAUCCCAAGCUGCUGCAAAGGUGCCUGCUGCUCCUUUACGCCUUAUGAGGGCACUAGGAGCACAGAUUCCUGGAUCCCAUCAGCAUACAAAGCAGCCACCAGCAGACCCCCAGGACGAGGACAGUGGAGGAUGAAGAGGACCAGAACUGACCGGCCGGCUGUCCCUCUUGGCUAAAGACUUAAACUAAUGCCCUAGUGAGGGGGCAUUGGCUGUUAACUCCUGACCUUUGCUAUGCUUAUGCCUUGACUCUCUGUCUAUUUUCCUAUACGUCUCUGCUUUUGUUAACCUGCUAGCAAACUGGAGUGAUUCCCUCCCCAAGGGGGUGUCAGUCUUUCUCAACUGGCUCUUGUUGCCCUUAUGAUGUCCUGAAUGGAAGGAUCCUUUUGGGAGCUUCUCAGGAGGGGGACCUGGGUCAAGGGCUUGACCAGCUUCUCCCUGGCAAUUCCAAGCCCCUGGGUGGGCUUCUGGAAUGAGCAUGUUACUCAACCACCAAAGGCAUGCCUCACCUCUUCUGGGAUCUCUCUGUCCUUUCUGGGGAAUGGGGACCACAGGAGCAACCUCCUAGGGUUGUUGUGAGAAUUAAAUGAGAUCAAACAGCCUCAGGCAGGGCCUGGUCAGGAAAUGUUUGUUGAAAGGUUGGCAGGUCAGUGGUUCCCACUGUUCCCACCCCUCUCUCACUCCUCUUAUUUAUUUUCCAACAGCACUCCAGACGGCCCGUGUCCUGGGGCUCUCCUUGUACCGUGGCCCUCGGGCUGACCUGAGUAAGAACACAAAUGAUGCAUGUGGCCAUUUCCAGAGCACUUUCUCUGUGCUAUGAAUAUGUUAUUGCUAUGUAAUAUUUGUAUGUAAAUGAGGCAGCCUCAUUUCCAGAUGAGGAUGACUUUGGUACUGAUUUUCACAAUUUAAAAAGGUGAGUGGGAAAGAGGACCUGUAAGACAUGAGUGCCCUGCCCCCUGAGAUAGGACUUACUUACCUUUACAGGAAGCAAACUGACGCUGGGGGGAUGUGAGUGUUUUGUCACAUUGCUGGCAAAAGAGGGGCCAGGGUUGGGUCCUGGAUGUCAUUGUAGCUGCCCCUAACCCCCUGUCACCCCCAGCCCAGAGUUAUACUAAAAGCCCUUUUAUUGUAAAUCUGACAUUUGACAGUGGGACACUCUGUUUGAAAUCUCAGCUGCCCAGGGUGGUCUUGGGGAUCUGGGUGGCCCCAGUGCUGGUACCAUGUGCUGGCUUCACCUCUUAAUAACGAUGGGACCUUAAACAAGUCGCUUAACUUUUCCAAGUUUCUGUUCCUUUCAUGGUCUAAAUGGGGAUUAAAAAAAAAAAACACCCACAUUUACCUACCCCACAGGGUGCUUUUGGAGACCAAAAGAUGUAACUACUAUGAAAGUGCUUUGUAAAUUGCUGUGGAAAUUGCAAGAUACUUAAAUACCCGAGGUUGCCCCUCAUUGUUCACACGUCCAGCUCUGUUCUCCCUCAGAAAUAGCAGUUAGCACCCAGUAGGUGCUAGGUCCAUGUUCACUCAAUAAAUAAAUUGCAGAAGAAAUAAAAACCAAUUAAUUCAACAAACAUUUUCUGGAGCAGUGACAAUAUGUCAGUGUGCCAGGCUAGGUGUGUGAUACAAAGAUAAUGAAAACAGUCUCUUGGAAGCUAAUUGGGGUCCUCAUUUGACCAGCACUUUCUUUCCUCCCCUUUCAAGCCAACCAGUUUUGUCCUGACAAGACAAAAACAACUGAGGCCUCUUUAGAGAAGCCCAGCUUGGUGUAGACAAUAGCCACCGGCAUCUGAAAAGGGCUGAUUGGAUUAUGUGGCAAAUGGAGGUGCUAGGAUGACUUGGAAGGUGACAAAUGAAGUGGGCGGAGACCCGCUUUGAGUUAAUCCAGGCUAUUAGGAGGAGACCUUUUGUCUUCCAGAGACUGGCAGGAGCUUUUACCACUGGUUUUUACAUCCUUAAUGUUAAGGACGAAUAAUUUGUGGUCAGUAAAAAUCCAGGCCCCAGUGAGAUUUCUGCUUACCCGUGAGUAAUGGGAGCGAUUGGUAGUGUCAUCCUUUGCAGUUUGCGGAGCACUUUUUUGCAAUCAGACAUUCAUUUGAUCCUCACAACUCCCUGUCCUGAUGUGGGACCGGCCUGUCACCUCCCAGGGAAGCAGAGGUUGUCCAGCGGCUCUGCAGCCCAGCUUCUUGAAAGUCUUCUCUACACUUGCUGUUUUCCUUCCUCACCUCCAAUUUCCUCUUCAGCCCACUGCCUCCUGACUCGCUCUGCUCCGUCGAAGGGCUCUCACUAAGGUAAAGACUUUUCUCUCGCUUAACUCUUGACAUGUUUCCGGCUCACGGACACACAGACACGCAGACACAUUUCCAUUCCUUCUCUCUCAUGGCCUUGUGGCUCCAGUUCACUUCUGUUUACACGCUCCCCCAGGCGUGACGGGGACACCUGCUGCUCAUUCCCUCUUUCCUGGCAUCCCCCAGGAACUCGCAAACCCAGGUCUUCCGACCUCUGGAACCUGCCUCUUACCAUCUUGCCACCUUGCCACGUUGCCUUAAGUGCUCAGAAGUUGCUCAGAAGUCGGUUGACCUGGGUUGGAGUCCUGGUUAAACUACUGAGUGCUGAGACCUUGGGGUAGGUCAGCUUUCCCAAGCCACCUUUAUCUCAGUUGCAAAUUAGGGUUAAUAAUCUUUACUUGGCAGGUCAGGUGAGAUCUCCCACAGGUAAGCACCAGAUGCUAUUUGAAGGACUUGAAAUAAAGUCAAUAAAGUAGCCAUGAGAAAAUACAACUGGAGGCACCGCUAGAUGUUCUUACACGUCCAGUUCCCACGGGAGGACCAAAGAGAAAAGAAAGAAGUGGAGGGGGAGGGGGAUGGAGGACUGGAGAAAAGAAUAGUUUAAAAAAAGGCAUUAAAGGCAAAAACAAAAGUAGGAAAGGGAGACUUAGAAAAUAUUAAAAUACACCAAAAACGCAUCCAGAAAAAGGUUUCCUCUUACGUUAGAUUGGACUAACAGCAAACAGGAAGAAGGUUUUAAAUUGAUUAUCCCAAUGACAAAUCCCAGGAAGCUUUCAAAUCAAAUUGCCCCAUUUUGGGUUUUUAACUGCUUCCAUCAAGUUUAACCUGGUAAGCUCUGCCCCCGCCCCGCGACCCCCUCGCUGGUGAUUAAAUCCCGAAGGUGCACAAAGUAUUUCAGUGAAUGAAAGGCCAACAGAAAAGAGCCUCCCCCUCCCCCCAGCUGUGUUUUUCAGUUUUAUUCCACUUUCCGCCCUUUUCCCUUAAUGAACACAAGGCUAAUCUUGGGCCUUGUCGAAGGAAGAGGCUGCAGAGGAGGCUGCAGACGCUAAUGAGGUAGCUGCUGGGUUCCAAUAUUCCUCUGUAAGGAGCCUCCUUUGUCUGCAAAGGAAAAACACACUGAUUAUCAUAAUGAGGUGAACUGGCCACCGCAGAGCAGGGGCUAGCGGGUGCUUAAGCCACACUUCCAAUUUUGGUGUCGACUGACGUUCUUUUGCUCCUCAUCUCAGUCUCUGCGUGUCUCCGUGCGGAGUCCAUUGAGCGGGGUUGGAAGUUGAAGGCAGCUUUGGGACGCAGGGCGGCAGCGAGGGUUGCAUUAUAGGAAGUUUCUUUGUUUGACCCUCCCCGCAGAUGCAACCGGCCAGGGCAUUCAUUGUCUCUCUCCAAGGGCCAAGGGCCGGGGGGUCCACUAGUGAGCAGUUCCCAGCUCUCGCCCUCCCAGCUGCCCUGUUUCAGGGCCCGCUGAGACCACCCACAGUGUACUCACACGAACAGGUUAUAGGUGAAGAGCCGAGGUGUGAGCACAGCGGGGAUCCCCGAGGAGAGGAGUGUCCCGCCCAGGUCGAGAAGUGGGUAGAUGUUGGCACCCCAGCAGCCCCGCCAUGAAAGGGCACGGGUUUGGGGUUCACAUGCGGCUCCAGCAGACUGAUGAGAUUGGGACUCGGGGCAGUGACUUGUCAGGAUCCAUCGGCCAAGAGGGAAAUUAAAACUUAGAUCUGGCGUCAGGACUUGUAGUUACUCUCUUGCACCCUUAAUAUCUGCCUCACCCUCGUGCCCUGCACCCUGCCUGAAUGCUGAUCCCUUUGUGUUUUUUCCCCGAUCCUUGAACUCCCUGGAUCCUUGAACUCCCUGGAGCCCGGUAAUGUCUUUAGAGCAGGUGUACCCUAGUCUGAAACUUGCCCUUAUUUUGUGCAAGCUCUGGCCGUCUCUCACCCCGAGGCAGAUCAAUCAUGAUUAGAUCACUCCAAUUAAACUUUAGGCUCUAGCCAGACCUUUAGCCAGACGGAAAAAAAACUAGGGGACAAGGGAGGUAUUUGGAACAAGAAAAUGUUAUUAGUUAAAGCCUUAAGGGGCCUCCCUCCCUGAUGAAUCUGCUGGCUGAAGGCUCUCUGGCAUCACGAUCAGAAUUGGAUGUUCUUUCUGAGUUAGGAAAACCGACUCUACCGCAGCCCCUCCAUAAAGAGUGCCGGAGGAUGUCCAGUUGGCUGACUUGGGCGACCUCUGCCCCCUUGUGUGGAGGUGAGACUGCCGAGGACAGACAUGUCCCACCCUGUCGCGGAGGGUGUCGGGACUAGGGCAUGAGAGGACUUCUUUUCAUUAGUAAAGAAUGAUGCACAGGACCCUCCUCAUCCUCACAUACAUAUCAAUAAUUAAAAUGCAGGCCCCAAAGCCAUGAUUAAUAUUCUUGUAGCUCCUGUGGACAUUUGGGAACCUGGAGAGGGUGUGAAUGACCUUAGCCAGCGAGGAUGUUCCAGGGUCUUUUGGGUUUUGUGCCCAAGGCUCCAGGAACCCCAACAGAGGCUCCCAGUGCCCCCACUCCACACGUGCUUGGGUUUCUUAAGCUUUUCUAAGGCCACCAGCAUAGGGCUUGGAGCCCAGUGCUCGCUCGAUCGUAGGGGUGAGGGACAUAGCUUGCAGUCCCUGUGCACAGGCCCCCUGCCCCCCCUCUGCUUUUCCAUCCAAGGUCCUGGCUGCUUCCUUAGUUUGCCCGCUGACCCUCAGAGCCCGCUGGUCUCUUCUUAAACAUCCGUCAGGUAGACCCUGGAGGUGCAGAAGAGAAUAGGACACGCAGCAUAACCAGAUGGGGAAGGAGUGUGGCCAGGAAAUGUCCCCACCACCCAAUUCUUCCAAGAGUUACUGUUCCUUCUGCACUUACCGGCCCCUCCCUGCACCCCUCCCUCUGUUCCCUCUCCUCCUCUUCCUCUGUCUCUCCCUUCUUCCCCCCACUUCCCCGUUGGGCCCUCUUAGGGUGCCCUAGGCCAGCCCACCCCUCCUCUGGAUGUCCCAGCGCCAGCCUGGCACAGAGUGGGGCUCAGUAAGAGUAUGUGGGAUGUAUGUUUGGACAGGUGAGCGAUUGCAGGGACUCGACUGCCACUCCUGAGCAGCCAGGUGGGCAGCGGUGGGAGAUCAAGGUUAGAGGGUGGAGGGUGGUUUCGUUUCACUCAAGAAGGGCGUGGGCAGCCUCCCCCAGCCACGUCUGCACGUGGCCCUGCGGUUGCGUCCCUGCAUCCACCCGCGCGUCCAUCCCGUCAUCCAACAGUUGAUCCUCACUGAGCGUCCCCACCGCCCUGGCUCGGCCUGGGCACCUGCCACGCUAGCCUGCCCUUGAUGGCCUCUGCUUCCCCAGGAGGGCGGGCCGGGGGGUUGCUUCAGCCAGGGGCAGCCUCAGGGUUGUCCCAGGUGCCAGAGCAGGGGAUAGGCCAGGGGGUGCAAAGGGCGGGCCUCCCUCUAGAACCUUUUAUUCAAGCCCUAGAGGAACUAGGGUCCUCAGGGCUCUGCCUCUGGUCGAAGCCAGCCCCUCCUCCCCUCGGCACCCCUACCCCGUCCCAUAGCUGAGCUGUCCUGGACCCUGGCCCUGAAGCUCUCAGGGCUGAGGUGGAUGUACGGGAACAGCAGCGGUGUGUGUCCGGGCUUUGGCCACACGGGUCUCCCUCUUGAGGUGGGGUCUGUGACUCAGACCUUUCCCUCCUGUAAUUCCUUCCUCCCCCUGGGGCUAAAUCCAGCCCCCUUGCCCUUUGGUCGCUGGCUGGGGUCUGUGUCCCAUGCAAAGACGGUGGCUGGGAACCUCCAGAGAGCAUGUGCAGGUUUUCCCUCUGCCCGGCUGCCUCUUUGCUCCGCUCUACCUGGUGGCUGGGCCAGUUACCCACCUAGACUCUGCUUGCUUCCUCUCUGCGGUCCUGCCUGGCCCACCCCCCUUCUCUGCCUGGAGCCCUGGGCUCCUGACCCUCUGGGGUCACCUGUCCAGCCCUCUGCCUAGCAGGUGCGUCUUUCUUGUCCAGCUCACGCCUGUGGUUUCCUGGCCUGUCUGCUGCCUUUUGCCCUGCCUCCGGGUCCAAGCCCCCUUCCCCAGCCCCAGCAGCCACUCUGCUCAGUGCCCAGUUUCCGACAGGUUCCCCAGGUCCAUGGGACAAGCCCUGCUGGUGUCUCUGUCUCCCUCCAAGUGUCCUCAAAUCCUCGUCCCAUGGGCCGUAGCCAGACGAACAUCCCGCCCCCCUUGCCCGGGGUCCCCAUGCCAUUGU